rnacentral:rRNA from 1 species
AAGUCGUAACAAGGUUUCCGUAGGUGAACCUGCGGAAGGAUCAUUACCGAGUUAGGGUCUUCUGGGCCCGACCUCCAACCCUUUGUUUAUUCUACCCUGUUGCUUUGGCGGGUCCGUCCUUAGGGGCCGCCGGGGGUCUUAUGACCUCUGGUCCGCGCCUGCCAGUAGCCUUUUUAAAUCCUUUAUAAUUGUGAUGUCUGAGUACAAAAACAAAUCGUUAAAAACUUUCAACAACGGAUCUCUUGGUUCUGGCAUCGAUGAAGAACGCAGCGAAAUGCGAUAAGUAAUGCGAAUUGCAGAAUUCAGUGAGUCAUCGAAUCUUUGAACGCAUAUUGCGCCCUUUGGCAUUCCGAAGGGCACGCCUGUUCGAGCGUCAUUAUCAACCAUCAAGCCUGGCUUGUCGUUGGACCCAUUGUCGCCACAAGCGAUAGGUCCGAAAGAUAAUGAACGGUGUCAUGGUGGCCCCAAAUGCAACGAGCUUUUAAUAGCACGCAUCUGGUGGUCGGCAGGCCCGGUCUUAACCCAUUAUUUCAAGGUUGACCUCGGAUCAGGUAGGAAUACCCGCUGAACUUAAGCAUAUCAAUAAGCGGAGGAAAAGAAACCAACAGGGAUUACCCUAGUAACGGCGAGUGAAGCGGUAACAGCUCAAAUUUGAAAUCUGGCCUUCACGGGUCCGAGUUGUAAUUUGUAGAGGAUGUUUCGGGCAAGGUUGUGGUUUAAGUUUCUUGGAACAGAACGUCAUAGAGGGUGAGAGUCCCGUCUAGAACCGAUAGCCGCGUCCAUGUGAAACUCCUUCGACGAGUCGAGUUGUUUGGGAAUGCAGCUCAAAAUGGGUGGUAAAUUUCAUCUAAAGCUAAAUAUUGGCCAGAGACCGAUAGCGCACAAGUAGAGUGAUCGAAAGAUGAAAAGCACUUUGAAAAGAGAGUUAAACAGUAUGUGAAAUUGUUGAAAGGGAAGCGCUUGCAACCAGACUUGCGUAUGGCGGUUCCCCUAGUCUUUUGACUGGGCUAUUCCGUUAUAUCCAGGCCAGCAUCGGUUCGGGUGGUUGGUUAAAGGUCUUGGGAAUGUAUCUACCUCCGGGUCGACUUAUAGCCCAGGGCGCAAUGCGACCUACCUGGACCGAGGAACGCGCUUUUGCUCGGAUGCUGGCGUAAUGGUUGUAAGCGGCC